rnacentral:rRNA from 1 species
UACGAAGGGGGCUAGCGUUGCUCGGAAUCACUGGGCGUAAAGCGCACGUAGGCGGAUUGUUAAGUCAGGGGUGAAAUCCUGGAGCUCAACUCCAGAACUGCCUUUGAUACUGGCGAUCUCGAGUCCGGGAGAGGUGAGUGGAACUGCGAGUGUAGAAGUGAAAUUCGUAGAUAUUCGCAAGAACACCAGUGGCGAAGGCGGCUCACUGGCCCGGUACUGACGCUGAGGUGCGAAAGCGUGGGGAGCAAACAGG